CUGUCCUACUUGUCCGUGUCCGAGACGUAAACAGAUAGACAGAUAGCGAACAACGAAAAAAGACCAAGGAUCCACAAUGUUGAGAUGGAGCUUUAGUUUCUUUUUCCUUAGAUUUUUGUAAAACUGUACAGAGAAAUAGAAACACAAAAAGGGGGAUGUUUCACACCGUUCAAAUUAAAUGUCUCUGUGUCAUCACUGUACAUUGUUAUAAAUAACCAAAAUAUGCACGGUUAACAUUGAAAAUAGCCGCAACUAGCGUGCAGUAGCCCAUAUGCUAAGAUGGAUGGCCAAGCGCUAAUGCAGCAUAGCAAAAACGGACGGAAAAUCGUUCUUAAUAUUGCACAUUUCCAAUGCUGAAACUGAAGUAACGGUUUGGUAGAUAUCAUGAAAGUGCAGUCUAAACAGGGUUCAACUUACAGACGAUGCUUUCCAAGGCAUAUACUCAAGAAGAAAA